UACGGAGGGUGCAAGCGUUAUCCGGAUUCACUGGGUUUAAAGGGUGCGUAGGCGGGCAGGUAAGUCCGUGGUGAAAUCUCUGAGCUUAACUCAGAAACUGCCAUGGAUACUAUUUGUCUUGAAUAUUGUGGAGGUGAGCGGAAUAUGUCAUGUAGCGGUGAAAUGCUUAGAUAUGACAUAGAGCACCAAUUGCGAAGGCAGCUCACUACUCAAUCAUUGACGCUGAGGCACGAAAGCGUGGGGAUCAAACAGG
rnacentral:rRNA from 1 species